UACGAAGGGGGCUAGCGUUGCUCGGAAUCACUGGGCGUAAAGCGCACGUAGGCGGCUUUUUAAGUCAGGGGUGAAAUCCUGGAGCUCAACUCCAGAACUGCCUUUGAUACUGAGAAGCUUCGAGUCCGGGAGAGGUGAGUGGAACUGCGAGUGUAGAGGUGAAAUUCGUAGAUAUUCGCAAGAACACCAGUGGCGAAGGCGGCUCACUGGCCCGGUACUGACGCUGA
rnacentral:rRNA from 1 species